rnacentral:rRNA from 1 species
UACGGGGGGAGCAAGCGUUGUUCGGAUUUACUGGGCGUAAAGGGCGCGUAGGCGGUCAGUGCAAGUCAGUUGUGAAAUCUCCGGGCUUAACUCGGAACGGUCAACUGAUACUGCUCGACUAGAGUGCGGAAGGGGCAACUGGAAUUCUCGGUGUAGCGGUGAAAUGCGUAGAUAUCGAGAGGAACACCUGCGGCGAAGGCGGGUUGCUGGGCCGACACUGACGCUGAUGCGCGAAAGCCAGGGGAGCAAACGGG